rnacentral:rRNA from 1 species
CCGGUAAACGGCGGCCGUAACUAUAACGGUCCUAAGGUAGCGAAAUUCCUUGUCGGGUAAGUUCCGACCUGCACGAAUGGCGUAAUGAUGGCCAGGCUGUCUCCACCCGAGACUCAGUGAAAUUGAACUCGCUGUGAAGAUGCAGUGUACCCGCGGCAAGACGGAAAGACCCCGUGAACCUUUACUAUAGCUUGACACUGAACAUUGAGCCUUGAUGUGUAGGAUAGGUGGGAGGCUUUGAAGUGUGGACGCCAGUCUGCAUGGAGCCGACCUUGAAAUACCACCCUUUAAUGUUUGAUGUUCUAACGUUGGCCCCUAAUCGGGGUUGCGGACAGUGUCUGGUGGGUAGUUUGACUGGGGCGGUCUCCUCCUAAAGAGUAACGGAGGAGCACGAAGGUUGGCUAAUCCUGGUCGGACAUCAGGAGGUUAGUGCAAUGGCAUAAGCCAGCUUGACUGCGAGCGUGACGGCGCGAGCAGGUGCGAAAGCAGGUCAUAGUGAUCCGGUGGUUCUGAAUGGAAGGGCCAUCGCUCAACGGAUAAAAGGUACUCCGGGGAUAACAGGCUGAUACCGCCCAAGAGUUCAUAUCGACGGCGGUGUUUGGCACCUCGAUGUCGGCUCAUCACAUCCUGGGGCUGAAGUAGGUCCCAAGGGUAUGGCUGUUCGCCAUUUAAAGUGGUACGCGAGCUGGGUUUAGAACGUCGUGAGACAGUUCGGUCCCUAUCUGCCGUGGGCGCU